AUGGGGGCGGGGAGAUCAAGCAGGAUGCGGUCGGGCGGCUCAGAGUCGCUGGGCGUGGGGAGCGAGGCUAAUCCGCCACUGGAUGAUGACGCAUUUGAUCCACUGGCUCAUGAAUAUCCGUUGAUGCUUAAUUGGUCACAAGAUGAGGCUAAGAAGCGUGACACGUACGACACGUCAUACGGCCGUGGUAAUGGGAUGAUUGAUGACGUGAUAAGUGAGAAGUACAGGCAGACAUUAAUUGCUCAACAAGGAAGAAAGGCGGAGGAAGAAUUAGAGCAAGAAGAUCGUGCCCAAAAAAAGAAAGAUAAUAGAGAUGAGGCGUCAUCGAGCAGGGAUACUACAUUACAUCAACUGAUGAAAUGCAUCAAAGAUAUGCAAAAAGAAAUUAGACUUCUCCCUGGAAAAUGUGCUGAGAAGCUGGAGAAGAAAUGUCUUGUCUUCAAGCCAAACAAGGGGUCUGAUGAUGACAUUGAGUUUGUGGAGCAUAGUGAAGACUGGGUGGGGAAGUAUGGUCCAUCAAAAUAUUGGCCAGAUGUAGAAUCAACUCCUGGAAAAGAAGAUAUGGACAACAGGGUGGACGCAUCCUUCACCACUGGGAACGGGGACAAAUUGGCGCGUGAGAAAGGUGUGCAUCACAACACACCUGGUACAGGAGAUGAAGGCGACCCCUUCAUUAUUGAGGACAAUGAUGAGGCUAAGAAGCGUGACACGUACGACACGUCAUACGGCCGUGGUAAUGGGAUGAUUGAUGACGUGAUAAGUGAGAAGUACAGGCAGACAUUAAUUGCUCAACAAGGAAGAAAGGCGGAGGAAGAAUUAGAGCAAGAAGAUCGUGCCCAAAAAAAGAAAGAUAAUAGAGAUGAGGCGUCAUCGAGCAGGGAUACUACAUUACAUCAACUGAUGAAAUGCAUCAAAGAUAUGCAAAAAGAAAUUAGACUUCUCCCUGGAAAAUGUGCUGAGAAGCUGGAGAAGAAAUGUCUUGUCUUCAAGCCAAACAAGGGGUCUGAUGAUGACAUUGAGUUUGUGGAGCAUAGUGAAGACUGGGUGGGGAAGUAUGGUCCAUCAAAAUAUUGGCCAGAUGUAGAAUCAACUCCUGGAAAAGAAGAUAUGGACAACAGGGUGGACGCAUCCUUCACCACUGGGAACGGGGACAAAUUGGCGCGUGAGAAAGGUGUGCAUCACAACACACCUGGUACAGGAGAUGAAGGCGACCCCUUCAUUAUUGAGGACAAUGGUAAUUCACCCAACCCAUCUCUUGCGAUGGUAGACACGAAGGACUUUCCAGCUAUUAAUUCAACCCCCAAGAAUAUUAAUGAAGUGUCAGACGGGUCUAGCGCCGAUAAAUCUGAGGAGAUUAGUAUGGAUAGUCUGAACACCCAUAUUAAAAAUNNNNNNNNNNCGCCAUCUGCGGCCGACGCCGCCCCCGACGCCACCUCACGCCGCCUGCACGAUCGCCACCCCCGACGCCAUCUGCGGCCGCCGCCGCCCCCGACGCCACCUCAUGCCGACGCCCCCAACGCCCGCGACGCCCGCGACGGCCCUGACGCCAUCUGCCACCGACGCCAGCUCACGCCGACGCCGUCGCCCCCGUGGCCUCGUACCGCCGACGCCCCCAAGUUGAAUAAGGGCAAAGAUGCCAUGAAAGCGCUAGGAAAAGAGGGGUUAAAGGCGAAGGUGAAGGUGCCUAGUCGCUUUCUAGAUUCCAAUACGGGGGAAAUGAUGAUAGACGAGCUGAUUGAGAACAUCGUUGCCAGUGGCACGUACGAUGAUGAUUUUCUCCGUAGAAUUGUUCUGGUUCUUCUAGGCACGGUUCUUGCACCGCAGUCCACGAAAGAAGUUCCUAAUGCUUAUUACAAGUUAGUGCACGAUGUGGAGGCCAUCAAAGCAUAUAAUUGGAACGCGUUUGUUUGCGUUGAAGGAAUCACAAAGACCUUAUCAGAUCAUACAAAAUUUACUUGGCCGGUCGGAAACCUUGCCCUCCUACAGCCACUGGAUGAUGACGCAUUUGAUCCACUGGCUCAUGAAUAUCCGUUGAUGCUUAAUUGGUCACAAGAUGAGGCUAAGAAGCGUGACACGUACGACACGUCAUACGGCCGUGGUAAUGGGAUGAUUGAUGACGUGAUAAGUGAGAAGUACAGGCAGACAUUAAUUGCUCAACAAGGAAGAAAGGCGGAGGAAGAAUUAGAGCAAGAAGAUCGUGCCCAAAAAAAGAAAGAUAAUAGAGAUGAGGCGUCAUCGAGCAGGGAUACUACAUUACAUCAACUGAUGAAAUGCAUCAAAGAUAUGCAAAAAGAAAUUAGACUUCUCCCUGGAAAAUGUGCUGAGAAGCUGGAGAAGAAAUGUCUUGUCUUCAAGCCAAACAAGGGGUCUGAUGAUGACAUUGAGUUUGUGGAGCAUAGUGAAGACUGGGUGGGGAAGUAUGGUCCAUCAAAAUAUUGGCCAGAUGUAGAAUCAACUCCUGGAAAAGAAGAUAUGGACAACAGGGUGGACGCAUCCUUCACCACUGGGAACGGGGACAAAUUGGCGCGUGAGAAAGGUGUGCAUCACAACACACCUGGUACAGGAGAUGAAGGCGACCCCUUCAUUAUUGAGGACAAUGGUAAUUCACCCAACCCAUCUCUUGCGAUGGUAGACACGAAGGACUUUCCAGCUAUUAAUUCAACCCCCAAGAAUAUUAAUGAAGUGUCAGACGGGUCUAGCGCCGAUAAAUCUGAGGAGAUUAGUAUGGAUAGUCUGAACACCCAUAUUAAAAAUGGGAAAGAAAAUGGCACUCAGGAGAAUGAUGGGAAGGAAAAUGAUGGGAAGGAGAAUGAUGGAAAAUGCAAGAGGAAACAGUCAAAAUACUGUCUUUCACCUUACCAACAGAAUGGUGGACGUAAACGUGCAAAGAAAAGUCUAUUUGGUAUAAGAGCUGCUAUGAUUAGUACUGAUUACAUUAAUGAGGAUCACAUAGAGGCCGCGGAGGUCAUCAAUAGUUAUUGCAACCAUAUGCAGACCCAUAAUCCUCAUGCUGACGGUCACAUAUUAUCAUCUUGGGUGUCCCACUGGCUUAUUCUUCAUGCUGAUGGAAAGGUUAACAACUCUAAGAGGCAUUUUAUGGAUCAUUUCACAAACCAAACUAAAAUGGUGUCUAGAGUUACUGAAGAGUAUUUCAUCAAAGAUAAGGCAUACUUUCAUUUUCAUGUGGAAGAAAAUGAUUGGAUAACAGUUCUUAUGCACAACAAGAAAAAAGAGUUUCAAGUUUUAAACUCUACUGGUAAAUGCAGCAAAAGAGUUCUUGCAAAGAUUGCUAAGCUGAGGGCCGAAAUAGCUAAUGAUACAAACGAGGUGAAUGCUCUUAUUGGAACGGAACAUCCUGACGUUUCUUCCUGGCCAAUAAGGGAGUACGAUAUGCCGUCACAAACAGACGGAGUCUCUUGUGGUCUUUUCAUAGUGAAAUGCGUUCAAAACUGGGACGGAGAUGAUUGGACAUUUGAGUUUGAUCAAGAUGAGGUUAAUGCUUCAAGGGGACGCAUUCUAGCUGAAAUACUUUUUUCAGAGUGGAACACAAAGGAAGUAGUGAAAGAGAAGAUCCUCAAGAUCAUGGAGAAGAAAUGA
rnacentral:rRNA from 1 species